UUAUUUAAAAUAAUAAAAAUUUUAAUACUUUAUAUAUUUUAGUAUAAUAAAGAAUUAAUUAGUAAUUAAAUAAGCUGUACAGGGGAUUUUAUAAAAUAAAUAUAAUAAAAGAUUAAAAUUUACCUUUUGUAUAAGGGAUUAUCAAAUAAUAAAUUAUUUUAUUAUUCCCGAAAUAAAGAGAAUUAAUUUAAUUAAUUAAACAAUGUGGAAGUAUUGUUAAAAAAUUAAGUUAGAGGUGAAAUAUUAGUCGGUCUUUAUAAUAUCUGGUUUCUAAGUUAUAAAUAAUUUAAUUUAUUGAGUGGGUUAUUUAUAUUUAUUAUAAAUUAUAUCUAUCUAUUAAGUUAAGCUAACAGGGUAACCUUGUUAGCAAGGUUUUAUAAUAAACUAUUUAAUUUAUGAAGAUAAAAUAGGCUUAAGAACAGCUAUUUUGUUAUUAAGUUAUAUUAAAUUUAUUAAAAUAUUGAAUUUAUUUAGUUUUUAAUUAAGUUAGAAAUUUGGGUGAUUAAAAUAUUUAAAUAUAUAAUGAUAGUAUUAGUAUAAAUUUAAAAUUAGUAGAUAAACAAAAAUAAAUAAAUUUUAUGAAUUUGACAAUAAUUUUUUAGACUGUUUAACAAAAACAUUUCUUUUAUGAUUUUAUGGAAAGUAAAAUCUGCCCACUGUAGAAUAUGAAGGGCCGCGGUAUUAUGACCGUGCUAAGGUAGCAUAAUCAUUAGUCUCUUAAUUAGAGAAUGGUAUGAAUGAUUAAACUGAGAAGUAUUUUAUUAAAUUUAAUAUUUGUAAAUUGGAAUAUAAGUGAAAAUACUUAUGUGAUUCUAUAAGACGAUAAGACCCUAUAGAUCUUUAUUAUUUUAUAGUUUUUGAGUAUUGGGGUAUUAACAAAAACUUAAAAAUAAUUUAAUUGGGGCAAUAAAAGAAUAAAAAAAAUUUCUUGCUAAAUAAAUAUACACAAAUUUAUUAAUCUAUAUUUUAUACAUUCGUAAAAAGUUACCUUAGGGAUAACAGCGUAAUUAUUUUAAAGAGCCCAUAUCGAUAAAAUAGAUUGCGACCUCGAUGUUGAAUUAAGAAACCUAGUUGGGGCAGAUUUUAACUAAGGUGGUUUGUUCAACCAUUAAAUUCUUACAUGAUUUGAGUUCAAACCGGCGUGAGCCAGGUUGGUUUCUAUCUUUAGAAAUUUUUAAAAUUUUUUAGUACGAAAGGAUUAUUAAUUUUUAAUAUUUAUUUAAUAUUUAAUGAUAAAGUAUUUUAUGAAA
rnacentral:rRNA from 1 species